ensembl:lncRNA
CCAUAAUCCCUAGGCCGUGCCGAUUCAACGAGAUAUCCCGCUUGACCGUAGCUCGCUUGCAUUUUACAACCAUAUUUUUAUUUUUGGGUUACCAGGUGCCUAUUUUAAACAGUCCAUAAAGCACUCAGGGCGGCCCCCAUGGAUAGAGGGUCAUUAGGGUACUCCCAUAGCGGGCAUGGACAAUAGGAGUCCCGUUAAAUGCAUUUACAACCAUAUUUUUAUUUUUGGGUUACCAGUUGCACAACAAUGCACGUGCAUUUGCAAUAUGAUUCUAUAGUGAAAAAACAUCACCAAAUGGACAUGAUGAAAUCAACACAACGAGUGAUGGAAAGGAACAACUAUCACUGCUCGGCCAUCCUGUGUUCAUCAGGCCAGUCAAUUUUGCAUUUUUGAGCAUGUCAAAUUUCAUAUGGUAAAUGCCCAUUGAACCAUAUUGCAAAUGCACGUGCACUUGCAAUAUGAUUGUAUAUGAAAAAACAUCACCAAAUGGACAUGAUGAAAUCAACACAACGAGUGAUGGAAAGGAACAACUAUCACUGCCCGGCCAUCCUGUGUUCCCAUAGCGGGCAUUAAUAUCAGAAUUACCGGUAAAUGCAUUUUACAACCAUAUUUUUAUUUUUGGGUUACCAGGUGCCUAUUUUAAACAGUCCAUAAAGCACUCAGGACGGCCCCCGUGGAUAGAGGGCCGUAGUAGGGUACUCCCAUAGCGGGCAUGGACAAUAGGAGUCCCGGUAAAUGCAUUUACAACCAUAUUUUUAUUUUUGGGUUACCAGUUGCACAACAAUGCAUGUGCAUUUGCAAUAUGAUUCUAUAGUGAAAAAACAUCACCAAAUGGACAAGAUGAAAUCAACACAACGAGUGAUGGAAAGGAACAACUGUCACUGCCCGGCCAUCCUGUGUUCAUCAGGCCAGUCAAUUUUGCAUUUCUGCAGGAUUUUUGACCAUGCCAAAUUCGUGAUGGUACAUGCCCAUUGAAACAUAUUGCAAAUGCACUUGCACUUGCAAUAUGAUUCAACAGUGAAAAAACAUCACCAAAUGGACAUGAUGAAAUCAACACAACGACUGAUGGAAAGGAACAACUAUCACUGCUCGG